UACGAAGGGGGCUAGCGUUGUUCAGAAUUACUGGGCGUAAAGCGCACGUAGGCGGCUUUGUAAGUUAGAGGUGAAAGCCCGGGGCUCAACUCCGGAAUUGCCUUUAAGACUGCAUCGCUAGAAUUGUGGAGAGGUAAGUGGAAUUCCGAGUGUAGAGGUGAAAUUCGUAGAUAUUCGGAAGAACACCAGUGGCGAAGGCGACUUACUGGACACAUAUUGACGCUGAGGUGCGAAAGCGUGGGGAGCAAACAGG
rnacentral:rRNA from 1 species